rnacentral:rRNA from 1 species
UACGUAGGGGGCAAGCGUUGUCCGGAUUUAUUGGGCGUAAAGAGCGUGUAGGCGGCUAGGCAGGUCCGUUGUGAAAACUCGAGGCUCAACCUCGAGACGCCGGUGGAAACCAUCUAGCUAGAGUCCGGAAGAGGAGAGUGGAAUUCCUGGUGUAGCGGUGAAAUGCGCAGAUAUCAGGAAGAACACCCGUGGCGAAAGCGGCUCUCUGGAACGGUACUGACGCUGAGACGCGAAAGCGUGGGGAGCGAACAGG